UACGGGGGGGGCAAGCGUUGUUCGGAAUUACUGGGCGUAAAGGGCUCGUAGGCGGCCAACUAAGUCGGAUGUGAAAUCCCCAGGCUCAACCUGGGAACUGCAUCCGAUACUGGAUGGCUUGAAUCCGGGAGAGGGAUGCAGAAUUCCAGGUGUAGCGGUGAAAUGCGUAGAUAUCUGGAGGAAUACCGGUGGCGAAGGCGGCAUCCUGGGCCGGCAUUGACGCUGAGGAGCGAAAGCCAGGGGAGCAAACGGG
rnacentral:rRNA from 1 species